UCCCUGAUGGUCCAGUGGUUAAGAUAUUGCACUCACAAUGCAGGGGGCCCAGGUUUGAUCCCUUGUCAGGGAA